rnacentral:rRNA from 1 species
AGCCAUGCCGCGUGAGUGAUGAAGGCCUUCGGGUUGUAAAGCUCUUUUGUAGGGAAGAAAAGAUUACGGCUAAUACCCGUGAUACUUGACGGUACCAGCAAGAUAAGCACCGGCUAACUCCGUGCCC